rnacentral:rRNA from 1 species
GCGCUNUAGGGUUGGCCGAUGGCUGGUUAGCUAGUUGGUGGGGUAAAGGCCUACCAAGGCGACGAUCAGUAGCUGGUCUGAGAGGACGACCAGCCACACUGGGACUGAGACACGGCCCAGACUCCUACGGGAGGCAGCAGUGGGGAAUUUUGGACAAUGGGCGAAAGCCUGAUCCAGCAAUGCCGCGUGUGUGAAGAAGGCCUUCGGGUUGUAAAGCACUUUUGUCCGGAAAGAAAUCCUUGGCUCUAAUACAGUCGGGGGAUGACGGUACCGGAAGAAUAAGCACCGGCUAACUACGUGCCAGCAGCCGCGGUAAUACGUAGGGUGCGAGCGUUAAUCGGAAUUACUGGGCGUAAAGCGUGCGCAGGCGGUUUGCUAAGACCGAUGUGAAAUCCCCGGGCUCAACCUGGGAACUGCAUCGGUGACUGGCAGGCUAGAGUAUGGCAGAGGGGGGUAGAAUUCCACGUGUAGCAUUGAAAUGCGUAGAGAUGUGGAGGAAUACCGAUGGCGAAAGGAGCCCCCGGGCCAAUACUGACGCUCAUGCCCAAACCGUGGGGAGCAAACAGAAUUAAUACCCGGGAACCCCCGCCCUAAACAUGCCACUAUUUGUGGGGAUUCUUUCCCUAAAAACGAACUUACGCCGGAAAUGAACCCCCUGGGGAAACCGCCCCAAAAUUAAACUCAAAGAAUUGGGGGGACCCCCCAAACGGGGGAGAAGGGGUUUAAUUCUGUGCCGCGAAAAACCUU